AAGACUGUAGGGCUAACAAGGGAGGACUGAAAGGAGACAGCCACUGUAGGGAGUAUAUAUGGUACUCUACCUUCAGGGCAGCAGGGGUAAAGAGAUUCUAGGGAGCUACCAGAAAGGCUGGGAAGUGCUAAGAGAAGGCUUUUGCAGUAGAUUGGCCUGAAGCUGUUUGAGGAGUCAGGCUUUGAGAGAGAGAGAGAGAGAGAGAGAGAGAGGUGGAAUAUGUAGUUCUGGGAAAGGUGCUUGUAGACAGGCAGAGGUAGGAAGCAGCCAGGGCUUGUACAGAACAGGUUUUAGCUGCUUACAUGCAGCACCCUGGACAGGAAAACUGAGAAGGGGGCAGCUCUGGCUUUCCCUACCAGCCCUAGGAAGGGGACUAGAAAAGCCCCCCUGAGGAAGGGGGCAAGGACUAAAGGGCACAGGCCAGGGCUGAUGUUCAUGAUGUGAUACAGGGAUGUGGGACUUUUGGCCUGUGGGCUUCUUUACUACUACUGAAGGAGGUUAUGAAUGACUUGGCUUUGGGCUGCCCCUGUGAGAAGCGGCAGCCCGCUGCAGGGACAAACUGUCUUGUGGAGGAAAAGGAGGCAGAGUUGCUGCAACAUAACACCCAACUGUGAGGGGAAUGUGCUGGCUGGGUGCUGUUACCGCACAAGCUGUUUGCCUGCUUGAACAAUCAACCUACUGUUAUUUGCAGAAGCAUAAACAAAUAUGAUCUUUAAAUUCUACACCCAAAAGCCUCCUAUCUCCUGAGAAGCAGUGGGCGAUAGCACAUACCGACAAUACAAAUGUACAGACAUCUGACUUCUAUGGAUUUUUUUAAUGAAAGAAGGUUUUGUAGUGUAGUACCCAAAGCAUAACCCUGCUGUAUCUGUACACAACACUGAGCCACAUGGUACAAAAUUAGUUAGGAGCAUCAGAAAGUAUUUUCAGAGUCAUAUAGUUAAAAACUGCAUUUUAAUAUUAAUGAAAAAAAUUCUAAGUCAUAUUUGAAGAUCUGGGUGUAACUCACAAUAUUUAUUCUGUCACAAGCCACAGCAGCUAUAAUUAUUAUUUAAAACUGGUCUGAAUUAACAGCAAUUUAGUUUUUGGCUAGGAAAGAUGUUUUUUACACAGGUUUCUCUCCUUUCUUUUUAUGAUCUGAUAUUUAUGUCCCUGGUAAGACGCACAGUAUACAGAAGUUUCAGUGCAGAUUCUCUUGUACUCACCGCAUUCUUUGUAGUAAUGUUGCUGUUGUAGCUUCCCCUUCACACUGUGCUCUGAGACCAUGGGCCAGACAUGGUAUAUUUAGCCAACUUUAUGGGGAACUAAAUUACAGGUGCACGACAAAGCUGGAACUGAAGAGGGACACUUGACUAACUAUUACAUUCAGUGCUAAUGAGGAGGAGAUACUGUACCAAGCUGCGCGUACACACACAUGGAGGGGAGGAGCGGCUCUGUGAACUGGUUACAGAAACUAAGUGGCCCCUGAGGAUGCUAAAAGAGCUGCCUCCUGUUGUUGCUCCGAGCUCCUCCAUGUCAGGCCCUUGAGAGAAUCUCAACAAGUCAGCCGAUGCCAAAUUCUGGCUUUUUUCAUGCUGACUGAUGCCUCACACAGAGCAUAAGGCCUGCUUCUACCAACAAACAGGGAUGGAAGUGAACAUAACCAACUCCAAGCCUUGGCAUGAUGAAGAAAUCACAUUACAGGAUAACCUGAAAUAUGUCAUAAAAGCCUUUUGCAAAGAUGAAAUGCUUGGCAUUACCUCAAGCUCUUCCAGAGAGAAACAUGUUUUCAACAGUGACAGGUGUAAAACAAUCAGCUUGAGAGGUUCCUGUGAUGUCUUCUGUCAAAGUAAAUCCAGCAAAACAAAUUCCUCUGGAAGAUUUCCAUGAAGCCUUCCCACAAGCAACAGUAAACAGCACCUUUCACAGAACUUCAGGUAGCUGCUAAAGUACAAUUGUGGAAUUACUGAAUGGGAAAACUGAGAAAUGGGAAAAUUUUGCUAUGUGGCAUAUCAAACAAUUAAACGCCAAUGAUAUUUGUUUUGCUUUUACUAAUGUACUCUAUCAAAUAGUGAGAGUACUAGUAUGAAAAAUGUUGAAAAUAAGUGAUUAGAAGGAAACUUGCUUCCUGCCCUCCCACUCCUCCCCCGCUCAAAAAAAGCCAUAAGUGGUCUUCUGAAAUGUCUAGCUUUUCUUAUUUUUCCCUUCAGUGGCAUAACAAGAGUAGAUAGCAGCCCUGGAUCUUUUUGUAAUGGC